UGAGUCUACUCGCUGGCAGGAUGGGAUCUUCUUCUCUCUCUGCGUCACUUAUGCCCUCGUCUCUGCCGUUUCUAUGAUUCAAUUAAUUAGGAUUCAACUGCGAGUGCCGGAUUAUGGUUGGACUACACAGAAGCUUUUUCAUGUUAUGAACUUCAUUGUAAACGGAGUGCGUGCACUUGUUUUUGGAUUUUACAAGCAAAAAGUGUUUGUUUUAUCUCCAAAGGUCAUCAUCACUUCAGUGUUGUUGGUUCUUCCCGGUCUUUUGAUCUUCUCAACAUACGCCUUACUUGUCCUAUAUUGGGCAGAGA